rnacentral:rRNA from 1 species
AACGAACGCUGGCGGCAUGCCUAACACAUGCAAGUCGAACGAGACCUUCGGGUCUAGUGGCGCACGGGUGCGUAACGCGUGGGAACCUGCCCUUAGGUUCGGAAUAACUCCCCGAAAGGGGUGCUAAUACCGGAUAAUGUCUUCGGAUCAAAGAUUUAUCGACUUUGGAUGGGCCCGCGUUGGAUUAGCUAGUUGGUAGGGUAAAAGCCUACCAAGGCGACGAUCCAUAGCUGGUCUGAGAGGAUGAUCAGCCACACUGGGACUGGGACACGGCCCAGACUCCUACGGGAGGCAGCAGAGGGGAAUAUUGGACAAUGGGCGAAAGCCUGAUCCAGCAAUGCCGCGUGAGUGAUGAAGUCGUUAGGGUUGUAAAGCUCUUUUACCCGGGAUGAUAAUGACAGUACCGGGAGAAUAAGCUCCGGCUAACUCCGUG